rnacentral:rRNA from 1 species
CAGGCUUAACACAUGCAAGUCGAGGGGCAGCAUUUUAGUUUGCUUGCAAACUAAAGAUGGCGACCGGCGCACGGGUGAGUAACACGUAUCCAACCUGCCGAUAACUCGGGGAUAGCCUUUCGAAAGAAAGAUUAAUAUCCGAUGGUAUAUUAGAACCGCAUGGUUUUACUAUUAAAGAAUUUCGGUUAUCGAUGGGGAUGCGUUCCAUUAGUUUGUUGGCGGGGUAACGGCCCACCAAGACUACGAUGGAUAGGGGUUCUGAGAGGAAGGUCCCCCACAUUGGAACUGAGACACGGUCCAAACUCCUACGGGAGGCAGCAGUGAGGAAUAUUGGUCAAUGGACGAGAGUCUGAACCAGCCAAGUAGCGUGAAGGAUGACUGCCCUAUGGGUUGUAAACUUCUUUUAUAUGGGAAUAAAGUAUUCCACGUGUGGGAUUUUGUAUGUACCAUAUGAAUAAGGAUCGGCUAACUCCGUGCCAGCAGCCGCGGUAAUACGGAGGAUCCGAGCGUUAUCCGGAUUUAUUGGGUUUAAAGGGAGCGUAGGUGGAUUGUUAAGUCAGUUGUGAAAGUUUGCGGCUCAACCGUAAAAUUGCAGUUGAAACUGGCAGUCUUGAGUACAGUAGAGGUGGGCGGAAUUCGUGGUGUAGCGGUGAAAUGCUUAGAUAUCACGAAGAA